rnacentral:rRNA from 1 species
GCGACAGACUGCGAGGUUAAGGAGGAAAGACCGGAGCCGAAGCGAAAGCGAGUCUUAAGAGGGCGAAAGUAGGAUGUUGCAGACCCGAAACCGGGUGAUCUAGCCAUGAGCAGGUUGAAGUUGAGGUGAAACUCAAUGGAGGACCGAACCGACUACCGUUGAAAAGUUAGCGGAUGACUUGUGGCUAGGGGAGAAAUUCCAAUCGAACCCGGAGAUAGCUGGUUCUCCCCGAAAUAGCUUUAGGGCUAGCGUCGGAAAGAACCUUAGUGAAGGUAGAGCACUGAAUGUGUGAUGGCCCCAUCCCGGGGUACUGAAUACAAUCAAACUGCGAAUGUCAUUAAGGAUGUCCGGCAGUCAGACUGUGAGUGAUAAGGUCCAUGGUCAAGAGGGAAACAGCCCAGACCGCCAGUUAAGGUCCCAAAAUACAGGCUAAGUGGAAAAGGAUGUGGGGAUGCCCAGACAACUAGGAGGUUGGCUCAGAAGCAGCCAUCCUUUAAAGAGUGCGUAACAGCUCACUAGUCGAGUGACCCUGCGCCGAAAAUGUACCGGGGCUAAGCCUGAUACCGAAACUGCGGAUUGUAGGAAACUAUAGUGGUAGGGGAGCGUUGUAUACGAGCAGAAGCCGUACCGUGAGGAGCGGUGGAUUGUAUAGAAGUGAGAAUGCCGGUGUGAGUAGCGAGAUGUAGGUGAGAAUCCUACACACCGAAAGCCCAAGGAUUCCAGGGGAAGGUUCGUCCGCCCUGGGUAAGUCGGGACCUAACGCGAGGCCGAAAGGCGUAGUGGAUGGAAAGCAGGCGAAAGAUUCCUGCACCCGUAUAUGGAGCGAAGGAGUGACGGAGACGGAUAGUGUGACCCUCUUAAUGGAUUGAGGGCGAAGCGAAGCGGCUGGUUACCAGGCAAAUCCGGUAACCAAAAGGCUAGAGCGUGACAGGUAAGCGAAAUCUUAGGAAAGUAGCGAAGCACAUGAUGACGGCUUCCAGGAAAAGCUUCUGGCAAUGCAUAUGCGGCCCGUACCAAAACCGACACAGGUGGGCAGGGAGAGAAUCCCGAGGUGAGCGAGAGAACUGUUGCCAAGGAACUCGGCAAAAUGACUCCGUAAGUUAGCGAGAAGGAGUGCUUAAGCAAUUAAGCCGCAGUGAAGAGGCCCAAGCGACUGUUUAACUAAAACACAGCUCUCUGCGAAGUCGCAAGACGAAGUAUAGGGGGUGACACCUGCCCGGUGCUGGAAGGUUAAGAGGAUCUGUUAAGAGCGAUCUGAAGCAGUGAUCCGAAGCCCCAGUGAACGGCGGCCGUAACUAUAACGGUCCUAAGGUAGCGAAAUUCCUUGUCAGGUAAGUUCUGACCCGCACGAAAGGUGUAACGAUUUGGGCGCUGUCUCGGCAGCAGACUCGGUGAAAUCUUAGUACCUGUGAAAAUGCAGGUUACCCGCAACUAGACGGAAAGACCCCAUGGAGCUUUACUGCAGCCUGAUAUUGAAUUCUGGUCAUACAUGUACAGGAUAGGUGGGAGACAAAGAGACGUGCACGCCAGUGUACGAGGAGUCGACGUUGGGAUACCACUCUUGUGUGACCGGGGUUCUAACCUGGUAUCGAGAACAGGUACGGGGAGAGUGUCAGGUGGGCAGUUUGACUGGGGCGGUCGCCUCCCAAAGAGUAACGGAGGCGCCCAAAGGUACGCUCAGAUUGGAUGGAAACCAAUCGUCGAGUGCAAUUGCAGAAGCGUGCUUGACUGUGAGACAGACAAGUCGAACAGGGACGAAAGUCGGGAAUAGUGAUCCGGCGGUGCCGAAUGGAA